rnacentral:tRNA from 1 species
AGGUCAGGUGCAGUUUCCGGACCGUCGAUGAUCUCCGAUGAUGACUCGAACUGCGACUCCGUUGGUCGCAGGUUCGAAUCCUGCCGGGCGCGCCA